UCCUCGGUAGCUCAGUGGCAGAGCAAGCGGCUGUUAACCGCUGGGUCGUAAGUUCGAAUCUUACCCGGGGAGCCA
rnacentral:tRNA from 1 species